ACGCUGAGACCGAGGUUUGAUCUGAACACCUUGAGAAGCAAUGCUUUGCUAAGGUCACCCGUGGUAUGACAACGUUAAUAAAGGAUGCUGUGCCUGCCAACUUUGUUCGCCUGGACUUCAGAGAAGCCAAAGAGGAGAAUCAUCAUUCGCAUACCGUGUAUGGAUUCCAUGGAGUAUUCCAUCGAGUAUUUCUUCUGUUUCAAUCGUCUUGGUGAAGUUUUUGAGCUGGAUCUGGAUUCUGCUGAGGAUUCGUCGACUACUAGAUGGCGAGCCACCCACUCAUUCGAAUGUGAUCCUGUUCUACAUUGCGCAUGGCAUAUUUGGUAGGAUUGUGGCCUGCUCGUGUCACAUCACUGACUAUGACUGACUUCAACGCCUUGAACUGAACUGCUUGAAAGGAGCUAUUUUUCUUUUUGAACAACUUAAAGGAACUCUCUACAUCGUCUCUUUUGAGGAUUUAAAGGACUAUUUCCAAUUUUUGAAGGACAAUUCAA